UACGGGGGGAGCAAGCGUUGUUCGGAUUUACUGGGCGUAAAGGGCGCGUAGGCGGCGUGACUAGUCACUUGUGAAAUCUCCGGGCUUAACUCGGAACGGUCAAGUGAUACUGUCGUGCUAGAGUACAGAAGGGGCAACUGGAAUUCUCGGUGUAGCGGUGAAAUGCGUAGAUAUCGAGAGGAACACCGGUGGCGAAGGCGGUUCUCUGGGCCUUACCUGACGCUGAGGAGCGAAAGCGUGGGGAGCGAACAGG
rnacentral:rRNA from 1 species